ACCUGGGUGGCUCAGUGGUUGAGCAUCUGCCUUCAGCUCAGGUUGUGAUCCGAGGGUCCUGGGAUCAAGUCCCACAUCAGGUU
rnacentral:tRNA from 1 species